rnacentral:lncRNA from 1 species
ACACAGGGCAGUGUUGCAAAUGGGUAUAAGAUGAAGUUGUAAAACUUUUUGAGACCUAGGCUCUAAAACUCACACAAUGUCACUUGCAGCUCAUUAUUGGCCAAAGCAAGUGACCGCGACAGGCUGGAUUCAAGGAGCAGGGAAACAGAUUCCACCUAUUUGUGGGAGGAUGUGCAUGAAAUUUCGGCCAAGUUUCAUGCACUCCGGUGAACGAGCUCUUACGGCAGCGCUAUCGCAUCUGCUCCUUUACUCCACCUUUCCAUGAAGGCUGAACCCUCAAGGAGAGACGCCCGUUGCUACCAAAAUAACUGUGUGAUAUUGUUAAGAGGACAGAAGAGAGAAAGAAAAAUUCUGGCUUGCAAUUAUAAAUUUCAUUUGCUAUAAUCAUUCUUUUGGAUAAGAAAAAAAGUAGAAAUUUCAUUUGCUAUAAUCAUUCUUUUGGAUAAGAAAAAAAGUAGAUGAAGAGAACACUCGAGAAAGAAGGUCUUGCAAUUCCUGCUUUGGGACUAGACAGAAAGUAUACAGAUCAAAACUGUCGGGUGAGCAUUCUCUACCUCUCCAAAUACCUUUGAAACAGCAAGAGAGAGAUCCUAACAGCCAAGAAUCUGUAAAGUCCCUAAGGUCAACAAAGGUCUCCAUGGGUCUCUGCAGGGCUCUACAGUCCAGAUCAGGACUGAAGAUAUAUAAGGAUAUAUAUGCAUAUACGAAUUGUAUGUAUGUAUAUAUAUAUUUUUUAUAUUUCUAUAUUCAAGAAGAAUGUCAAGGAAGCCUACAGAACAGGUAUAAGUUUAUCUUUCUGGCUGAGCUUCUAGAGACUUCAUGUUUGAAAUACCUCUAUCAGAUUUAAAAGUAAAACAAUGAAGAACUGUCGUCGUGGAAAUAAACUGAAGGAGUGUCUAUGGAACAGCCGGGCUGGUCAUAUCCUCCCUUUCUGUCUUUCUCUGUUCUCCUCCAUUCCUCUAUAAAAGUCAUAUCCAUCAAUGCUUAUUUUUUUCCCCAGGGUAAGCAGAAGAGCUGCUCACUGAAGAACUGAACAAUCUCUCCACAAAGGACUGGGCUUUCUCAAAGUAUAGUUAUCCUGGAGUAAACCCCUCCUUAUUGUUCACAUGACAGCAGGCAGGGGCAACGUGAAUACCUUAAAGUGAUGCCUUUAUCCACAUACCCUAUAAACAUACACAAAUUCUUGCUUACUUUGACUAUUCCAUGGGAAAAAGAGACCUGCUUAACUGAAGAGGAAACUCGUAUCUCCUACUAUACAUAAAUUUGAAUGAAAAAAUCAAGACUCAUUAGCCACUUGGAGGAAACAAACAGCUCAAAUAA